CCACUGAGAUGGUGCUCUUGAAUUGCAUAUAUGUGAGAAUGAUCACAGAGAGAGAGAGAGAGAGAGAGAGAGGAGACUAGAUUGACAGAGGUUGUAGGCAUAGAUAAAAGAGAGUUGUCAAAAUUAACAAGUUGAGCUUUGAACUUCCAUACACUGUUAUAUAUCAUCAUCUCAUUGAUAUAUUAUCUUCCAUUGCCAAAACUAUCCAAAAACUCCAUUCUAGAGCUUUGAUCAAAGAGAGAGUGAUUGUGGUUAAAAAAAAGAAAAUCAGGGAGUCCACCAAUUCCCCCCCUCCCCUCCACACACAUUGUUAAACAAUCCAAGUCACCAUUCUAACUAAUAUUCAAAGUUUUCGAAUUGAGGAUUGAGAACAUAAUUCACAAGCUUGAGGGUGAUCAAAAGAGAGUUUGGAAAUCAAGGAGUUUACCCUUUUUUUGAAAGAUUUUGCCAGGCCUAAUUGGCUAGUCGACGAACUUCUUCUGGACAGAGCAUAGCAAUCUUCCGAUGAUGAGCACAACAAUUUCUGAUGGUUUCCGAAGCACAUGAAGUUUCUAUUUUUAUUUUAAUUUGAGAGAUUUGUGAAGUUUCAUUAUGUUGUAAUAUUCUCUCUCUCUCUCUCUCUCUCUCUCUCUCUCUCUCUUCCCCUCACUCCUUUAUUUGGUUUGUAAUUAUUCGGUGAUGUAAUAAUUCCCCAGCUCCCCUUCUUUCUAUCCCAUUCUUUUACUUGCUUUCUUUAUUUGUACAUAAACAUCAUAUUUUGUUUUUCAUCAAAUCUAUGCUUUGCAUCUAUGUUUCAUGCAUUAA